AAUGGCGACUGUAUUUUGGCGCCAAAUGACGUCACUACACUCACACAUUGAGGCAUCGAGCGUUGCCCAGUAGCUGUUGCCUAAUGAGCCUCUCGACUGAGAAUCAUAGUUGGUAGUACACACUAUCCAAUGCCCUUGACAGCUAUGGACUGUACAUUAUUUUCAGUGAAGAUCAGUGUUUGAUUGUUCGUGACAAAGUUUAAAUUCCAUAGAGAUUUGAACCUCAACCGCAAGAUAUUCAGUUAAAGAUCACGAGUGAGCCACCACAGUUUUACGUGAUUGAUGUAUAAACCAACUAAUCAACAUGGAGUUGUGGCGCGAUACAGCUCCUCAGAUUACCUAAAAUUCACUCCAUUUUCACCCUAUAAAAGCCGUUUGGCGCCUUACUCACUCAAGCAACUUCGAGAGACCGUUAUGAUCUGACGGCCCUGGACACUCGCGUUGACCACUUCAGACACUCACAGAAGGCUUAGACCAAACCAUAUCGGGUACUCGGACAGACCACCUUGAGCAAGAAACAACUUCGGGUACUGACACACAAUGUAUAACAGCUAGGUUUCUAAUAGACACAGCGCGGUUCUCCCCUCCCAGUUAAUGGUUAUAUCAUCAACAUCUUUCUUUUGUAAUGAGCCAAUGCAGUAAAUCAU
rnacentral:lncRNA from 1 species